rnacentral:rRNA from 1 species
AAUUUUUGACAAUGGGGGCAACCCUGAUCCAGCCAUUUCGCGUGUGUGAUGAAGGCCUUCGGGAUGUACAGCACUUUUGGCAGGAAAGAAAUCGCGCGGGCUAAUAUCCUGCGUGGAUGACGGUACCUGCAGAAUAAGCACCGGCUAACUACGUGCCAGCAGCCGCGGUAAUACGUAGGGUGCAAGCGUUAAUCGGAAUUACUGGGCGUAAAGGGUGCGCAGGCGGUUCGGAAAGAAGGAUGUGAAAUCCCAGGGCUUAACCUUGGAACUGCAUUCUUAACUGCCGGGCUAGAGUAUGUCAGAGGGGGGUAGAAUUCCGCGUGUAGCAGUGAAAUGCGUAGAGAUGCGGAGGAAUACCGAUGGCGAAGGCAGCCCCCUGGGAUAAUACCGACGCUCAUGCACGAAAGCGUGGGGAGCAAAC